CGGCGGUGGACGCGGCCGGCUGCGGGCGGGCGGGCGGUGCGCACGAGUCCAGGCUCAACUUCCCGCUCUUGACAAGGCCGGGAGCCCUUUGGACCGGCCCCCGGGAGCUGGCGGCGGGGCUGGGAGUGGCGUGGUUUUUGGGUCCCAACCAGCUGUGCUCAGGGCUUCCUCCUGGCUCUGCACUCAGGUCAUCACUCCUGGAGGGCUUCAGGGGACCUUGUGUGGUGCGGGGCAUGGAAUCUGCAUCGCCCAGUGCAUGGAGAUGCUGCAAAGGAGACAGAGCCUCCUCUCCUCCACCCACCCGCCCCCCCACCCCAUGAAAAAGGCAAACGGUGACAAAAGAAUAAAUCAAAGUUAAUUCAGCAAGGGUGGCAAAAUUUCACGUACAAUUUAAUCUAUAAAGGAAAUACGCCAAAGCGUCUAUUUACAGUGAUUAUUUAAUGAAAAGCUCUGCUCUGAUGAGAGUCGCGUCUCGGGGACACGCUCAGAGCUGGGAAGUUUCCCCUUGCUACUUGGCUUAUUUCUUUGUUUUUCAAGCUGCCUUGCAACCUGGUUUGGGGCCUCUCCCGGCUACCAAAUGGUCCCUCGGGAUCCCGCUCGCUUGUAAAUGUUUCUAGAGAAAUCCUUCAAGGCCAUGCUAAAAUGGAAAGCAAAAAAACGGGACUCUUGAAGUAAUACAGGAAAGGACUUCACGUA